rnacentral:rRNA from 1 species
GACGAACCGUGCGAACGUUGUUCGGAUUCACUGGGCUUAAAGGGCGCGUAGGCGGGUCAGCAAGUCCGGGGUGAAAUCUUUCGGCUCAACCGGAAAAGUGCCUUGGAUACUGCUGACCUCGAGGGAGGUGAGGGGCAUGCGGAACUUCCGGUGGAGCGGUGAAAUGUGUUGAUAUCGGAAGGAACGCCGGUGGCGAAAGCGACGUGCUGGACCUCUUCUGACGCUGAGGCGCGAAAGCUAGGGGAGCAAACGGG